AAAAUGGCUGAUAUAAACUCUACUCCCAUGAACAAAUUAAGGUAGAAUUAGAAUGUUCUUGCUAAUGGGAACAUCGAUGUGGACUUCCACAAGGAGCAGAUCACUUAUAGAUGAAAGUGAAUUGGAGACUUCCAAAGACAAGGAACGGACUUUGAAGUCAACAGAAGAGAUUGAUCACCAAUUGAAAGUAUCUUAUGACUCGUGUUAAACAUGCUUUUAGAGGGUUAAACUUUGACAUUGAUCAAUAUGAUUGCUACUCGUAGAAUGUUAAAUUCAUAGGACUAUCUCCUAAGAGUUUUGAAGAUCAACUAAAUAACAUGCCCAGGGCUAUGCAUAAUUUAGAUUUCUUUAAAA
rnacentral:misc_RNA from 1 species